rnacentral:rRNA from 1 species
GAUGAACGCUGACAGCAUGCUUAACACAUGCAAGUCGACCUGGACCUCGGGUUGGGGGGCGGACGGGUGAGUAACGCGUAAGGAACUUGCCCCACUGUUCGGGACAACAUUUGGAAACGAAUGGUAAUACCUGAUAUUAUGUUUUUAGGGCAUCUUAGACUUAUGAGAGCUAUAUGGGCUUGGAGAGAGCUUUGCGUCCGGUUAACUAGUUGGAGGGGUACCGGCUCGCCAAGGCGACGAUGGGUAGCCAGCCUGAUAGGGUGAACGGCCACAAAGGGACGGAGACACAGCCCUCACACAUUCCUGAGGCAGGAGUGAGGAAUAAUGCAUAAAGGACCGGGAGUCUGAUGCAGCAAUUCUGCGUGCACAAUGAAGAUUGUCUGAAUGUAAAGUGCUUCCAGUUGCUAAGAAGAAAAUGACGGUACCAACAGAAGAAGCGACGGCUAACUACGUG